rnacentral:rRNA from 1 species
UACAGAGGGUGCGAGCGUUAAUCGGAAUUACUGGGCGUAAAGCGCGCGUAGGCGGCUUUGCAAGUCGGGUGUGAAAUCCCCAGGCUUAACCUGGGAACUGCAUUCGAGACUGCAUUGCUAGAGUAUGGGAGAGGGAAGUGGAAUUUCAGGUGUAGCGGUGAAAUGCGUAGAUAUCUGAAGGAACAUCAGUGGCGAAAGCGACUUCCUGGACCAAUACUGACGCUCAUGUGCGAAAGCGUGGGGAGCAAACAGGAUUAGAAACCCCAGUAGUCC